rnacentral:rRNA from 1 species
CAAUAGCGUAUAUUAAAGUUGUUGCAGUUAAAAAGCUCGUAGUUGGAUUUCGGGGUGGCCUGGCUGGUCCGCCGCAAGGUGAGUACUGGUCAGCCGCCCUUACUCUCGAAAGCCCCGACUGCUCUUUACUGCAGUGGUCGGGUAGUUCGGGACGUUUACUUUGAAAAAAUUAGAGUGUUCAAGGCAGGCUAUCGCCUGAAUACAUUAGCAUGGAAUAAUGGAAGAGGACCUCGGUCCUAUUUUGUUGGUUUCUAGGGCCGAAGUAAUGAUUAAGAGGGACAGUUGGGGGCAUUCGUAUUUAAUUGUCAGAGGUGAAAUUCUUGGAUUUAUGAAAGACGAACUAGUGCGAAAGCAUUUGCCAAGGAUGUUUUCAUUAA